GAUGAACGCUGGCGGCGUGCCUAAUACAUGCAAGUCGAGCGAACAGAUAAGGAGCUUGCUCCUUUGACGUUAGCGGCGGACGGGUGAGUAAAACGUGGGUAACCUACCUAUAAGACUGGGAUAACUUCGGGAAACCGGAGCUAAUACCGGAUAACAUUUGGAACCGCAUGGUUCUAAAGUGAAAGAUGGUUUUGCUAUCACUUAUAGAUGGACCCGCGCCGUAUUAGCUAGUUGGUAAGGUAACGGCUUACCAAGGCGACGAUACGUAGCCGACCUGAGAGGGUGAUAGGCCACACCGGAACUGAGACACGGUCCAGACUCCUACGGGAGGCAGAAGUAGGGAAUCUUCCGCAAUGGGCGCAAGCCUGACGGAGCAACGCCGCGUGAGUGAUGAAGGGUUUCGGCUCGUAAAACUCUGUUAUUAGGGAAGAACAAAUGUGUAAGUAACUGUGCACGUCCUGACGGUACCUAAUCAGAAAGCCACGGCUAACUACGUG
rnacentral:rRNA from 1 species